rnacentral:rRNA from 1 species
UGAGGAAUAUUGGUCAAUGGGCGAGAGCCUGAACCAGCCAAGUAGCGUGCAGGAUGACGGCCCUAUGGGUUGUAAACUGCUUUUAUAUGGGAAUAAAGUGAGGGACGUGUCCCUUAUUGCAUGUACCAUAUGAAUAAGGACCGGCUAAUUCCGUGCCAGCAGCCGCGGUAAUACGGAAGGUCCAGGCGUUAUCCGGAUUUAUUGGGUUUAAAGGGAGCGUAGGCUGUUUGUUAAGCGUGUUGUGAAUGUAAGAGCUCAACUUUUAGAUUGCAGCGCGAACUGGCAGACUUGAGUGCGCACAACGUAGGCGGAAUUCAUGGUGUAGCGGUGAAAUGCUUAGAUAUCAUGACGAACUCCGAUUGCGAAGGCAGCUUACGGGAGCGCAACUGACGCUAAAGCUCGAAGGUGCGGGUAUCGAACAGG